rnacentral:tRNA from 1 species
AAAGAAAUAAUUAAAAAAGCUUCUAACUUUAUUGAGAGCAUUAGAAUGUUCAUAUUUCUG